GACGAACGCUGGCGGCGUGCUUAACACAUGCAAGUCGAACGGAAAGGCCCUGCUUUUGUGGGGUGCUCGAGUGGCGAACGGGUGAGUAACACGUGAGUAACCUGCCCUUGACUUUGGAAUGACUUCAGGAAACUGGGGCUAAUACCGGAUAGGAGCUCCUGCUGCAUGGUGGGGGUUGGAAAGUUUCGGCGGUUGGGGAUGGACUCGCGGCUUAUCAGCUUGUUGGUGGGGUAGUGGCUUACAAAGGCUUUGACGGGUAGCCGGCCUGAGAGGGUGACCGGCCACAUUGGGACUGAGGUACGGCCCAGACUCCUACGGGAGGCAGCAGUGGGGAAUAUUGCACAAUGGGCGGAAGCCUGAUGCAGCAACGCCGCGUGCGGGAUGACGGCCUUCGGGUUGUAAACCGCUUUCGCCUGUGACGAAGCGUGAGUGACGGUAAUGGGUAAAGAAGCACCGGCUAACUACGUG
rnacentral:rRNA from 1 species